rnacentral:lncRNA from 1 species
GUAGAGGUGGACAUAAUGCCUUGCGACCUUGUCGAUUUUGGCGGAAUUCAGAGGGGGUGGAUGUAACAGAGUUAAAAAUGUAGUGUAUUAUUAUAUAUGAUUCUCGCCAAAAUAAAACUGCCGUGGUUAAUAAGUGUGAAGUUCUGUGCUGCGUGGAAAUCUACUGCGUUCCUACUCGAUCAGAGAAGCCGUUGCUUUUGAUCUGGUAGGUUCGCUAUAUAAAGCACUGUACCCAAUAUCAGUUUUCUUAAAGUGAAUUCAUGUUUAAGUUGAUAACUUCGAUGUAUCCCAUGUGUUAUGUUAUUUUCCAUUCACGAUCGUACUGUAGUUUGCAUGUUUUAGAGAAAGUUUAUUAAUACUUUUCUUAUGACCUUGGGUUUCUACAUGCUAAGGCUAACAUGGCUAGCCGUAAACUCCGCUAGCCACGUUCAUACAUUGAAAGUAAUAUUACUCUCUUUCUUGCUUGUGCAGAUGUACACCGUUUUCUGAUGGCAAUGAUUUGAUUUAUUUUCCAAAGGAAAAUAAAGGAAAGAAAAUUCAACAGUUUCGCCUCCGUCUCCCUGAUGCUUGACCAUCGUUACACUCAACCAUUUUGUUGUGAGCCCUGUAAAAAUUGUUUUCUUGACCGUUUUGUUGUGAGCCCUGUAUGUUUCUAGCUUGCUUGGUUGCAACCAUAUAAACACCUUUGUUUCCAUUGGUGUUUUGCUGUUCGUCUGUCUCGUCCCCCAGAUACACUGAAUCCCCGAAUCCAGGUUCUUGUUUAUUUCGAUUAUUAUGUUGGCCAACACUCUCACACUGAUUGUUCUGUUCAACCAAAGAUAAAACAAUUAUAAUCUAGGAUAUUAAUUCUCCCCGUAAACUAUAAAAAAGGAUGGCUUUAUGUUUAUUGCAAUACAAAUACACCAUGUAAAAAAAGUAUAACCUUGCUCCUUCCCCGGAGCCAGACUGUCUUCAGUCCUCGUCUGCGUCAGUAGCGCCGACAGUGAUUACGUGAGUUUUCAACGGAGAGUUUUCCGGCAAGCUGGCCUCAAGCUGGAGCCCAACACCCCCUAACCCCCUUGAUCACACUCCAUAGCAUAGCUAGCUAACGCUAGCCAUCCCGGUUUACUGUUUUGUUUACGUUUGUAAAGUGAGGUGUCCCCCCGCUAAACUGUUGAGCCUAUUACUGGAACAAAUGGCACGAUUUGGAAAGUAAAGUGUAAGAAAGAAAGCCUAGUGCAUCGUACUUAACGUUACAUUAACAGCCCCGUUCUACGAGUAAGGCUUCUUUGAGCCAGC